UUUGAAAUAAACAAUUGAAACGAAAGUUUCAUGGAUGAAAACAUGCAGGAUACCGGGUGAUUUAAAAUUUUAUCUCAUACGCAGGAGAACUGAUUAAAUAGGAAGAGCUGUCUGGUGUACGUUGGAACAAAUGUCUGGUUGUGCGUUGGAAUAACUAGCGUUCUUUACCGCUCGCUGACUGAAACAAUUAGCAAACGAAAUGAAAAGCAACGGGGGGAAUUCGCCACUUGAAGGUUUAAAUAUUUUAAAUUGAGUGGAAGAUUGUGUCUCAGUGGUGUUGGGUUUGGUCAUUGUUGUUGAUGUUUUUGAGACUUUCUUCAAUAAAACGUUUUGGAUAAGAA